rnacentral:rRNA from 1 species
UUCGUAGGUGGAUAAUUAAGUCAGAGGUGAAAUCCUGCAGCUCAACUGUAGAAUUGCCUUUGAUACUGGUUAUCUUGAGUCAUUAUGAAGUGGUUAGAAUGUGUAGUGUAGCGGUGAAAUGCAUAGAUAUUACACAGAAUACCGAUUGCGAAAGCAGAUCACUAAUAAUGUACUGACACUGAGGGACGAAAGCGUGGGGAGCGAACAGGAUUAGAUACCCUGGUAGUCC